UUUAAGUGUGCUCACCACCAUAGCCCAUAUAAAAAACCAUGUGGUGUAGAAGUCUUGCAUAACCAAAGAUUGAUCAACACACCUGCCUAGUGUUAACAUCUUCCACAAGAAAGAUGGCUAGUUCUAAAGUAAUGUGGGUGUUCUGCCUCCUAGCUUUACUGGCUUUCACUUCUUGUUCUUAUCAUGUACGAGCAGAAGAUCAUGCCACCAAGGAGAAAAAUGAGGUUUCAUCGUUCCAGAUUAUAGUGCGCCACCACCUCCAGAACACUAAUCGUAAGGCCGGUACGGUCAAAUUAGGAGAGGAGUGUUAUAAUAUGGAGCACUUAGUCUAAGGCAAUCUUAUCGAACAAAGGAAGGGAUGCUAUGAUAUUGAUGCUUUAUCAUAGGACCUCUGCAAUAAUGUAUCUUACUUUUAAUUUUAUGACUAAUAAAAGGACUGCCCGCAUGUUCUCUUUGUGUUUAGCAUGAUAUUUAGUUGUCCAUCGACA